GCCACCGUGGCACAGUGGUAACGCUCGCGACUUUGAUUCGUGGGGUCGUGGGUUCGAGGCCCGCCACGGUCUGGUA